GGCAGCAUGGUUGAGUGGUCAUAGCGUCGGUCUCACAAUCCGGUGGUGCCGGGUUCGAGUCCCGCUGUGGCCA